GUUUGUCCAUUCCCUGCUUCAGAUUUACUCACUCUCUGAAGAAUGAUCAAACAUCAAAGCCUGGCUCCCCACGCCUCAGACGGCCCUGAUACCCUCCGGGGGAGGUCCAAAGAGGGACGUCUAGAAAAUAGGUGAGUGGAGCUGAACGUGAGCUGGGCACAGACGUUUGGAGAAAGCAGGGGAGCCCAGGGCUUGUCGUCAAGAGCUGGUCCACCGGGCUCCCCCCACUACUCACUUUGGAACUUUGGGCGGAUUGCUUCUGAGCCUGAAACCAUCUUCCCUCUGCUGACACGAGCCCAAGGGGCCUGCUGGCUGCUGGCGCAUGGGCCACCUGCCGUCCCACCACGUGGCACCUUCAAUGGUGAUGAAGAAAAUGUUGAUUCCUGACUCUCUCGCAAACCUCGAAGCCUCCUCCACCUUGUCCGUGGGCCAGCCGUCCACCAUCACCA